rnacentral:lncRNA from 1 species
CAAAACCAAUAUUUCUUUCUUCGUAGUCCGAAUCCCUUUCUUCUCUCCAAAUUCAGUACAUUGAAAAAUGAGUCCCUUGUCGAAGACCAUUAUUGCCUUUUGUACCAUUCACCGUCAUGCAGAUGGAGACGAUGAUGGUGAGUAUGGAUAUGAUUAUGCACCAGCAGCAUGCAUGGAAGGUGACGGAGAUGAUGAUGAUAGUGAUUAUGACUAUGCUCCUGCAGCGCCCAUGGAGGGUGACGAUGACGAUGAUGGAGACUACGAUUAUGCUCCUGCUGCCUAGUUAAUUAUAGAAUUAUAUUUAGCUCAUAAUAAAUCACAGUACUAAACUUUGUUAGCUUGCUCCAUGCACUAAUAUUUGUAUGGCUUAAUGCCCUAAAGUUUUUGUAGGUUAUCGUGACUACAUUAAUUAAAGCUCUUAAUUAUGUUACCCAAAGCUUUUUUUUCUCUUUAUUUUAAUGGCAUGUUCAAUUGAUUUUAGUUUUUUAGACGAUAAAUUCUUUCGAGAAACGCUUUGAAAUAAAGUUCCAAAUCUUAAGACUUCAAAACGAAAUGAAGGUGACCAUGAUGACUAGUGAUCCGGACUUGCUCGAUGAAAUCAUUCACUAUUCUCCCUUGAAUCCCAGUUGUUUCUCCUGUUUCAUUCAUCUUCUUCAAUAACAAUUUUGUCAAUAAAAAGUGACCUGAAAAGAUUCCAUCCAAAGUCUAUCCUAGAAGCACUAGGAUUUAACUUCAGGUUCUCUCUAGCUAGAUAUUUUCUUGUGAUGGUUAUUUUUGUCUUGCUACUUGCAGGUAUUCUUGUCUCGUUUAGACAGGCCUUCAUCCUGUUUACAAUAAAGGUGGUUCCAUUUCAUAUACUCACUCUCUCUAGGUUACUAGUUGUUUUCUUAUAUCGAAGGGAAAAUAGGUUAUGAAUCAGAAGAAGAAGAAUUGGAGAUAGUUGCAUAUCUAAAUGAAGAUGUCCAAGAGAAGGUAUCUUUCUGUCUUGUCGGCAUGGACUCAAAAAACCUUCAAUGCCCAAGCAACGCUUCAGACGAUGCUUUCGGUAUGGAAUACGAGGAAAGGAG